AGUUGGUGGAGCGAUUUGUCUGGUUAAUUCCGAUAACGAACGAGACUCUAGCCUAUUAAAUAGUUCGCCGAUCCGUCUCGUCGGCGUCAACUUCUUAGAGGGACAAGUGUCGUAUAGGCACGCGAGAUUGAGCAAUAACAGGU
rnacentral:rRNA from 1 species